UGGGGCGUCGUCAAGCGGUAAGACACUAGAUUUUGAUUCUAGUAUGCGCAGGUUCGAUUCCUGCCGCCCCAGCCA
rnacentral:tRNA from 1 species